rnacentral:rRNA from 1 species
CCCAGACUCCUACGGGAGGCAGCAGUGGGGAAUAUUGCACAAUGGGGGAAACCCUGAUGCAGCAACGCCGCGCGAGUGAAGAAGUCAUUCGUGAUGUAAAGCUCUAUCAGCAGGGAAGAAAAUGACGGUACCUGACUAAGAAGCCCCGGCUAACUACGUGCCAGCAGCCGCGGUAAUACGUAGGGGGCAAGCGUUAUCCGGAUUUACUGGGUGUAAAGGGAGCGUAGGCGGAAUAUCAAGUCAGCGGUAAAAAUUCGGGGCUCAACCCCGUCGUGCCGUUGAAACUGAUGUUCUUGAGUGGGCGAGAAGGAUGCGGAAUGCGUGGUGUAGCGGUGAACUGCAUAGAUAUCACGCAGAACUCCGAUUGCGAAGGCAGCAUACCGGCGCCCAACUGACGCUGAAGCACGAAAGCGUGGGGAUCGAACAGGAUUAGAUACCCCUGUAUAC